UCGAGAAUCAUUCACAAUGGGGGAAACCCUGAUGGUGCGACGCCGCGUGGGGGAAUGAAGGUCUUCGGAUUGUAAACCCCUGUCAUGUGGGAGCAAAUUAAAAAGAUAGUACCACAAGAGGAAGAGACGGCUAACUCUGUGCCAGCAGCCGCGGUAAUACAGAGGUCUCAAGCGUUGUUCGGAAUCACUGGGCGUGAAGCGUGCGUAGGCGGUUUCGUAAGUCGUGUGUGAAAGGCGGGGGCUCAACCCCCGGACUGCACAUGAUACUGCGAGACUAGAGUAAUGGAGGGGGAACCGGAAUUCUCGGUGUAGCAGUGAAAUGCGUAGAUAUCGAGAGGAACACUCGUGGCGAAGGCGGGUUCCUGGACAUUAACUGACGCUGAGGCACGAAGGCCAGGGGAGCGAAAGGG
rnacentral:rRNA from 1 species